CAUUUUACGAGGUGCUGCAUGGUGUCGUCAGCUCGUGCCGUGAGGUGUCGGGUUAAGUCCCAUAACGAGCGCAACCCCUUACCUUUAGUUGCCAUCAGGUAAUGCUGGGGACUCUAAAGGAACUGCCUACGCAAGUAGUGAGGAAGGCGGGGAUGACGUCAAAUCAGCACGGCCCUUACGUCCAGGGCUACACACGUGCUACAAUGGCCGAUACAGAGGGCAGCUACCUGGUGACAGGAUGCAAAUCUCCAAAGUCGGUCUCAGUUCGGAUCGGAGUCUGCAACCCGACUCCGUGAAGUUGGAUUCGCUAGUAAUCGCGCAUCAGCCAUGGCGCGGUGAAUACGUUCCCGGGCCUU
rnacentral:rRNA from 1 species